rnacentral:rRNA from 1 species
AGGACGAACGCUGGCGGCGUGCUUAACACAUGCAAGUCGAGCGGACAUCUUCGGAUGUUAGCGGCGAACGGGUGAGUAACACGUGGGCAACCUGCCCCUAGCUCUGGGAUAACUCCGGGAAACCGGGGCUAAUACUGGAUAUGACCGAUCCAUGCAUGUGGGUUGGUGGAAAGUUUUUCGGCUAGGGAUGGGCCCACGGCCUAUCAGCUUGUUGGUGGGGUGAUGGCCUACCAAGGCGACGACGGGUA